AUUGAACGCUGGCGGCAGGCCUAACACAUGCAAGUCGAACGGUAACAGGAAACAGCUUGCUGUUUCGCUGACGAGUGGCGGGCGGGUGAGUCAUGUCUGGGACACUGCCUGAUGGAUGGGGAUAACUCCUGGAAACGGUAGCUAAUACCGCAUAACGUCUCAAGCCCAAAGAGGGGGACCUUCAGGCCUCUUUCCAUCGGAUGUGCCCAGAUUGGAUUAGCUAGUAGGUGGGGUAACGGCUCACCUAGGCGACGAUCCGUAGCUGGUCUGAGAGGAUGACCAGCCACACUGGAACUGAGACACGGUCCAGACUCCUACGGGAGGCAGCAGUGGGGAAUAUUGCACAAUGGGCGCAAGCCUGAUGCAGCCACGCCGCGUGUAUGAAGAAGGCCUUCGGGUUGUAAAGUACUUUUAGCGGGGAGGAAGGGAGUAAAGUUAAUACCUGCGCUCAUUGACGGUACCUGAAGAAGAAGCACCGGCUAACUCCGUG
rnacentral:rRNA from 1 species